AGUGGGGUUGCUGGGUCAUAUGGUAAUUUAUUUAACUUUAUAAGCAACUGCAAAACUGUUUUCCAAAGUGGCUGUACCAUUUUGCAUUCCCACCAGCAAU
rnacentral:pre_miRNA from 1 species